AAAGGAUUAAUGCGGUAGGUGCAUACCUUGCUGAAAUUUGCAUGCUUCCAUUGUGGGAAAGUGGGAAACAAAGGGAAAAAUCAUACCCUGAUGUGCUCUCCAAGUAGAGCUGUAUGCUGUGAUUCACUGAAGACAGCCAUGGAGGUUACAAAACAGAAAUUAAGAGACAAUAUAAAUUACGUGAGGUUGUUCUAGACAAUUAGACAACUCGUUGGUCCAUUUACAGUGCUGCUCGUAGCUUUAUAUCAAAUCUGAUGAAAGAGUGACAAAUUUCAAGCGAGGAAAUUUUUCAUUCUCUCCUCUCCUUAGGAGAGCCGUACUUUGUUUAGAGAUACCUUAAUGCGUAUCCUGAGCAUUUUAAUAAGAAACUAUUGCAUGCCACCGGUUUGUGCAAACAGUAGUUGUAUAAUUACAGGGGAUGAAUUAAUCUUCCAGGCGUCCAUUUGUGUUACUCAGAUCAGGCAGGGUUUAUUUGCAAAGGGCUGACCCUGCUUCCUGGCAGGUUCGCCCGGAGGUGGCGUGCCAGAUUCCCUCCAGUGGAUGCAGGAGGGUUCAGCUGCCACAUCCCAGGGACCAAGGGACAGGCACAUGGCAGGGGCUGCCGCCUGGGGCAACGCGGGGCAGUGACUGUGACAGCAGCAGCACCACAGCCUCCUCCAGAGAUUCUUUAGUAGGCAUUGAAGGCUGGUAGGAAACAAGUAUUCUCAAGCUUGGGUCUACAUUCUUCUGAUGCAAACAGAGAAUGAAAAUGUGUAUUUGCCUUGUCCUGGGCUCUUCAAGUAAUUCAGGCAACCUGGCUGAAUGUGCUGGAGACAGUGCUGACGUUACAGUUAUUUCAGGAAGAAGUCAAUGCUGUUCCAGCAGAGCAAACACUGGAUGGGCUCUUCACAAACAGUGGCUCCCACCUGCCAUUCCCAUCUCCCGACAUGACCAUCUCCAUGGAGGAUGUUGCCUUGGGGAUGAGCCAGGUUCAUCCUGCAGCUCCCCAGUAGCACUGUGCCAGAUCUGCCCCAUCCCUCUGAGCCACAGCAGGCCCUGAGAUCUGCUGGAAGCACUGGAGCAAAAGGUGCUCAAAAGCUGGUUUCUUCCAGGGACUGAAGAACAUUGUAAACCACAGCCCUAAAUGUUUGAUUAACCCCUAUGGGACCUGUGUGGUUUUCACAAGACAUUAACUGUAAGAGGUACAUUUCUUGCACUGUGUCUGCAGCUGGCUACUCAAUCCUAAUGAUCUGGUUUCCUAAUCUCUUACUUGAACAAAAAUAUGGCGAGGCAGAGACCAUGAGAUGCUGCUUUCACAUCUUUUUUCCAUAUGGGAUUUGGGCAGACAAUUUGCCAACAUAGUGAUGACCUGUUGCUCUUAUUUUUUUUUAUCUAUAGAAACUUGACUCUUCUAUGAAUCAGGGCAUAUCUAUAAACUGAGUGAAACCAAUAAAGGAUGUUAAGGAUACCA
rnacentral:lncRNA from 1 species